rnacentral:snRNA from 1 species
GGAUGUGAGUGCGAUCUGGCUGCAACAUCUGUCACCCCACUGAUCACCAGUGUUGAUUCGGCUGAUCUGGCUGGUUAGGUGGGUGUACCCUUCCUCCUUCCCUGCUUCAUGUGUGUCCUGCCCUAAGCUAUGCACUUGGUAGAAGAAGCCAACCACCCCUGAGAGAGGAGGACCCGCUCCUCAGUCAAGGGUAUAUGAGCA